UAUUAACCAUGUGUCCAGAAUCUUUCUGUCACCCUCCUCUGUCUGCCCCUUUCUAUCUGUCACCCCCUCUCUCAGCCCCUAUCUAUCUCUCAGCCCCCUUUCUAUCUGUCACCCCCUCUCUCAGCCCCUUUCUAUCUGUCACCCCCUCUCUCAGCCCUAUCUAUCUCUCAUCCCCCUCUCUCAGCCCCUUUCUAUUUGUCAUCCCCCUCUCUCAGCCCCUUUCUAUCUCUCACCCCCUCUCUUAGCCCCUUUCUAUUUGUCAUCCCUCUCUCAGCCCCUUUCUAUCUCUCACCCCCUCUCUCAGCCCCUUUCUAUUUGUCAUCCCCCUAUCUCAGCCCCUUUCUAUCUGUCACCCCCUCUCUCAGCCCCUUUCUAUCUGUAAUCCCCCUCUCUCAGCCCCUUUCUAUCUGUCACCCCCUUCUCUCAGCCCCUUUCUCUCUCAGCCCCCUCUCUCAGCCCCUUUCUAUCUGUCGUCCCCCUCUCUCAGCCCCUUUCUAUCUCUCACCCCCCCUCUCUCAGCCCCUUUCCAUCUGUCACCCCCUCUCUCAGCCCCUUUCGAUUUGUCACCCCCUUCUCUCAGUCCCUUUCUAUCUCUCAGCCCCCUCUCUCAGCCCCUUUCUAUCUCUCAGCCCCUUUCUAUCUCUCAGCCCCUUUCUAUCUGUCCCCCCCCCUCUCUCAGCCACUUUCUAUCUCUCAGCCCCUUUCUAUCUGUCAUCCCCCUCUCUCAGCUGCUUUCUAUCUCUCAGCCCCUUUCUAUCUGUCAACCCCCUCUCUCAGCCCCUUUCUAUCUGUAACCCCCCUCUCUCAGCCCCUUUCUAUCUGUCACCCCCCUCUCUCAGCCCCUUUCUAUCUGUCAUCCCCCUUUCUCAGCCCCUUUCUAUCUGUCAUCCCCCUCUCUCAGCCCCUUUCUAUCUCUCACCCCCCUCUCUCAGCCCUUUUCUAUCUGUCAUCCCCCUUUCUCAGCCCCUUUCUAUCUGUCAUCCCCCUUUCUCAGCCCCUUUCUAUCUGUCAUCCCCCUCUCUCAGUCUCUUUCUAUCUGUCACCCCCCAUUCUCAGCCCUUUUCUAUCUGUCACCCCCCCAGCCUCUAUCUAUCUUCCUUCCAUCUCUCUCUCUCCCUCUCCUAUUCUUUAAGACUACUAACAGCAUAAAGCCAUUAAAAUCCCUGUUAUAGAUUCAGUUGAAUGUCUUAUCAAUGCAGCGGAGUUUCAUUACGAUGAAAAAUCCAUCUUUCACAGCUGCUACUAUUUAAUCAGAUAAAAUUCAACAGAACGGAGCGUGGCAGAGAUACACACACACAAACACACACACACACCCCUUCACCCCCCACCCCCACCCCC
rnacentral:lncRNA from 1 species